GCUUACGGCCAUACCAACCUGAAAACGCCCAAUCUCGUCUGAUCUCGGAAGCUAAGCAGGGUCGGGCCUGGUUAGUACUUGGAUGGGAGACCGCCUGGGAAUACCAGGUGCUGUAAGCU
rnacentral:rRNA from 1 species